rnacentral:lncRNA from 1 species
GGAAAGCGUAGAUCGAAACUGUUUAGUAAUCUCGCUGUCAGAUAUUCUAUAUUGUUCGUGCUUUCGUGGUGCGGUACUUUCCAUUGAUAUUUUCUAAUUCAAUGAGGUAAUUUUAAUUUAACCAGUUCUAAGCACGCAGUAUUCUUAAAGGACUUUGUUUAAUUGUAUGUUUACUUUUCGGCACAAAAAAUAUUGAUUCAAUUUUCUAGCUCAUUAGAUAAAUUGCGUGCCUGAAUUUACAUGUGGAAUAAGAUUAGUUAUUGUGAGGUUCGUAUGAAUUGCCGCUGUGUGUCACUUAGGUCGUCAGAAGGCACGUUGCAUUACCACAAGCGAGUUUUAUCUAUACUAGCUUUUGUCCAUGAAAGCUUUCCAACUGUUUCUGAGGUAGCUUGCCUUUUGUGGCGAUAUGGUUUCCCGGUGAGAAGCGAAAACUUCUGUCUUAUAUAUUAUUAUUGUUGUUGUUUAGAUGAAUUGGACGCAUGUAAUCUUACACUAGCGUUGGUCGUUGUGGAUAUUUGAAACUUGAUCCUUUUGAUAUUUCUGGAAAUCUGCAGCAUUAAAGGAAUUGAUGGUUUGUCGUAUGUGAAGUUACGUUGGAAUUAAAGUAAUCGAACGUAAGUUUUGAUAGUUGCGUAUUGUGCUAAUUAAUUGAAUGUUGUGACAUACUGACAUUUAACCCCAAUCCAUAUUACUCUUGUCUUACGCUAGACGAUUUUACUCUGACGCGAGACAAACACUCCGUCUGGUAUUGGCCAGAGCAAAGUUUGACACAUUACAGACAAAUUUAUUCUGUCCAACGCUGUAGACAAAUCUACUUAGUUCUACUCGACCCAACACAAGAGGAUUUAACUCUGUCUGACGCCAUGAGUCUAUAUUACUCUGUGUAACGCCAGACGACUUUACUCUAUUAAACACCGGACACAUUUACGCCAAUCUCGUACCCAGAGCCAUUGUCGAUCUAACGUGAAACGGUUUAAUUUUACUUUGAUCAACGCGAUCAGAUUUUACUUUGUCGACGUCAGACAAAUUUACGCAGAUCAAUGUAACGCCAGAUUAUUUCACCUUGUCAAGGAUAUUAAAAUAAUAAAUUUAUAUAAUAUUACACCCAAAACAAAGAUAUUAAAAUUUUAAUAGCCUAGUCGUUAGUACGAGAUAAUUUAUUUUAAGUUGCGGUGAUUUUGGCCGAAAUUACUUUAAAAGAUUACAACACUUCGUUUUGGCGAAUAAAGGCUCUUAGUCUCGGGAAGUUGACAAUCUGUUUUAGCACUCCGUAUUAUUAUACAAACUCUUGUUUCAUGAGAAAUCAUAAGUUUACCGUGACUUCCAUUUUAUGCUUAGCACCAUUGCGUGUAGUUAAGUUUACUUUGUUUUUAUCCACAGGCAUUUGGCACUCGGGAUAUGCGGUGUCUUUGAAAUUUAGCGCCAAGUUAUGGCCAUAAUUUAUUUGGUAAUAGCUAAUGUCCACUGAUUCUUAGCACUUUGGGUUUAAUUGAAGUUUAUGACCCCCAACCUAAGUUACCGCUGAAAAGAACUGCCUUCAAGAAAACAUUUGCUUUUCUUGCCAUGAGGUAUAAGCUCCGUGGGCUAGUAUUCCGAAGGUCGUAGGUUCGAUUCCCACCGUGGUCAGGCAUAUUUUUCAAGCUUGCCCGGUGUGGAUAUACACUUAGAGUAACGUCACAAGCAUCAUAUUCACCUGAGUACAUUACACCUUCACAGAGAAAAUCAUGAUUAUUAGAUUGCAUUGAUAUCGAAGGAACUAGACUCAGUUCCGAAAUAUCACAUACUCGAACCGACCUGACCGCAUAGCUCAGUUGGUAGAGCAUUGGACUAGUAUUCCAAAGGUCGUAGGUUCGAUUCCCACCGUGGCCAGGCAUAUUUUUCAAGCCUGCCCGGUGUGGAUAUACACUCAGAGUAACAUCACAAGCAUCUUAUUCACCUGAGUACAUUACACCUUCACAGAGAAAAUCAAGCUCCGUACAGUCAACAAGUUUUCCUUGACAAGUUCCUUUCUCGUGUGUACGGUCGACAGUUUUCCGUGACAAGUUUCCUUGACAAGCAGGUUUCUUUUCUUGUGUGAACGGUCAACAAGUUUUCCCUCGACAAGUUCUAUUGUUCAUGCGCACGGAAUGUUGUUAAACAUUUAUCUCACGCCAAGGCCGCCUUUGCUUGCCGCGGAAAACCGAUACAAGUAUUUCUUGUACAAGUGUCACGUUUUCCUUGUCGGUCGUAGGCACGAACAAAUUUUCCUUGUCCAAAAGCUGGCACGACUACCUUUGGAAUGACGAGGCUCCUCGGGCAAAGAAACAUUGUCAAAUUUUUUGCUGUACUCACGAGCAAAUGAAACUUGUCAACGAAAACUUCUCAAGGAAAAAUUGCCCGUCUGUAUACGAGGUUUUAAAGUUGCUCUGGAUAAACAAAUACAAAACUACUUUAUUGGGGGUCGAUCGGCUUCAAUUGAUCAGUACUAUUGAAUUAGCAUACAAUUGCAUAAGGUUCCAAAUUGUACAGCACACUUUGAGAAUUCGGAAAUUCUAUCAAACAUAUUUUGACCGCAAAAGGAAAUUUGUAUAUCCUGGUAACGGGAAGUUUAUAACGGAAGUUUAUGGCAAAACUGACCUGAUAUGGGCGCCUUUUAUACAACGGUGCUCCUCUGAUUACACGAGAGUUUAAAUGUCAAAAAUCUCAAAAUGACUUUGAAAACAACUUUGGGCGACUGAUUCAACCAAUUAUCGAGAAAACGAUCGAGGUGAGAGUUAAUUAAUAAUGAUGAGGAAAAUUACUAAUAAUCUUUCGAAAAAAGCGUACAUAAUUAUUGGUGGGUCAUAAUUAUUAAUUGUGGGUUAGAGUUUAGGAUAAGAAAAGCGUAAACAGCGAGAUAUUAGGACGUUAACAAUUGAACUUUAUUUGAAAGCCCUGUCUACGUCAACUAUUCUAUGCGCCGAAGCAUUAACUUAAUUUAAGCUCUUUCCCACAAGGAUUGAAAUGGGUUAUAUUAGAACAGUUUGAGUCAGACAAUCUGAGUAGUCUUACAGACAUCUUAUUCAACUCAGUUUUCGUUUGGCACCUGUUAUUACCGAGUCACCGAAGUGUUUCGUUUGUGCGCGCGUUGUGAACACGCUGUAACAUGUCUUUAUACCAAACCCGAAAUAUGUCUGGCACUCUAGCGAUGCUUUUUUAAUCGGAAAUAAUGUGUGGGAAUAAAGACUACUUGCAUCUGUGAGUCUCAAUAUGUGGUACAGAGCAAUAAAUGGUACAACUCUAAAAGAAAAGGCUUAGCAUUAUUUGGACACUUCCACUGUAUCAAUGCAGUUGAAGGCAAGUAUUGUAUUGUGUCUAUAUCGUAUAUAGGACACUCGCCUCUAAAAUGAAAAUAGUGCAUUAUUGCUGCAUGUAUUGUUGACAAAAAAGGCAAUCACUAAUCAGGAAGUUAUAAAACGAAAACAAUGUUUCGCUCAUUAAUAUGAAAUUCAAAAGUGCCUGCGAGCAUGCUCAAUGUUUCCUGGGUAGUAACUAAGUUAUCUUGCUAUACUUGAUACUGGUGGGGCUUUGGUAUACUUGAUACUGGUGGGGUGGGACUUGUUAUACUUGAUACUGGUGGGGCUUUGGUAUACUUGAUACUGGUGGGGUGGGACUUGUUAUACUUGAUACUGGGGUGGGACUUGCUAUACUUGAUACUGGUGGGGCGCCUUUCAUCUCCGAGUUCGUGGCUUCGAUUCACGCUCUGCCUAUGGACUCAUGUGAAAAGAGUCAGUCAACGAUCUGCCGAAAGUCGUGUGUCAGUUUUCUCUGGGCGCUCCGGUUUCUUCCCACAGGGAAAAUUGACAGGGUGGGUUAGGAUUAACAUAGUUAAGAAAAUAAUAUCUCAAUUGUUGUGAAGAUAAGAUAAUCUAGGCUAAGUACGUCAUUAGGUAAGCGUAUAAUACUUGAAAUUUGCGUUAGAAAAAUGAUAAUUGUAAUAAGACAAAACUCCCCCCUUAUAACCCCUUAUUAUCUUCCCACCUUCUAUUGUGCGUGGGGAGGACUCACCCUCCGCCCCGUGCCACCUCCCACAGCCUCCAAUCGACGUACAAUAUAUCCGAUCAUUUUAAUAAGUAUUUUCGUUGUACCAUUCAAGAAAUUUGUUUUUAGCAUAGGAUCAGCCAAUUUCUAAAUAUAUUGGCAGCGUUAGCUAAAUCUGUAUCUCAAACUCAUUGAUAAUUCAUGAGUAAAUUAGCCAACCAUAUUUCUUUAUUUCGCUCACAAUAUAAUACUGGAUACCUAGUGAAGUACACUGAUCCAAUCCUAGGACUGGAUCAAAAUUAAUUCAGUCCUUGGACUAGAUCCAAAUUAAUUAAAUAAGUGAUUUAUUCGCAUGAGAUGUCGUUAUGCGAGGACUUGAAAUCUAGUCCAGUCCUCAUAUUGCUUUAUUUCGCUCACAUGAUAAUACUGGAUACCUGAUAUUGAUCCUGUCCUAGGACUGCAUCAAAAUUCGUAUGAGUUGUCAUUUCAAAUCCUCCAAUUCGGACUGGACUAGAUUUCAAGUGCUCGCAUUUUCAUCCAGUCCUCGGCUUCGCUUCGCCUUCGGACUUGAUCAAAUUGCUCGAACUUGAAAUCAAGGCCAGUCCUCAUAGAGUCGGAUUUGAAAUAUUACUUAUUUAUUUAUUUAUUUACUUUGACAUCAUACUUAUACAUUCAUUGGCUGGGAAACCACAACAGCUAUUGCCAAUUACAGCCGCCCCAAAGUGUACAAUUUCCAACUUCAAAAAAUUUCCAACUUCAAAAAAAAAAAUUUCCAACUUCAAAGACCAACCUAGGUGGCUUAUCGUAAAAUAGCGCGUCUGGCUACAGUCGGAAACUGUUACUCCACAUAUUGUUUCGCCGCAAAUCGCGGAAUGAAGCUGAAUCGAACUGAACACUGAUUGACAUCAAUUUGACGUAAAAUGCUAUUGUUUCAUUGAGCAGUAGGGUAGAGGAAAUUGUACAAAUAGAUAAGAUUUAAAUUAACUAGAAACACAAUUUAAUAACCGAAAGAAAACGGAAAAAGCCGUUUGAUCUUAUUCAAGGGAGAUGAUGUUUUACUCUGCGCUGCAAAAGUUCAUCAUUUAUGCGGUGACAUGCUGCCGUUCUAAUUGAUUUUGCCAUCUGAAAUGACCUAUUACGUUAAAGCUCUCCCGUGUUCUUAUCUCUGGAAUACAGAAUAUUAUACGAUAAUGAUUAUUGAUCUAAUCACAGAAUACGACACGAGCUCAAGAUCUAAUUAGAACAUUAAUCAAGAUCGUUACAAGAGGUACAACGACCUCCUUCGAGAGAAGUCAUAAUUAAGCAAGUCGUCCUUAUCAAGACAUUAAAGCUUGUUUGAGUCGGGAUUUCGUUGGCUAGUUACUUCCAGUGAACUCUCUCUCUCUAUAUAUAUAUAUAUCUGGAACGUCAGUCAUUCGGCCUAUGAGAAAAAUGAAGCCAAGAUGACUGCCAUUGAUGUCCAAUAGCUAUGAAGGUUGUAAACAGUUUAUAUAAGGCAUUUUCCCCAGCUUAUAAUUCCAUUUUUUUCUAACGGACCGUAAUCAUGUUAUCAGUUCAUAAAACUAUAGUAUUAUUCUUAAGUUCUUUGUAUGUUUGCAUGGCGAUAAAACAUAUAAUAGUUUUGUUUGUGGAAACACCACGUAAAUUUAUUACUGCAAAGCUUUCGAUCCGUAAGCCCGGAUCUUCAUCAGUGCUAAUCAUAUGUGACUUGUUUUUACUUAUAUAUCGUAUAUAUCCGCUGAAUGUAUUGAAUGCUGACUCAAAAAUACAAUAUGGCGGCCUGCAAAUGCAUUUCAAAAUUUGUAUUUUUUCGUGAUUUCUUUAGACUUUCAGAAUUAACAAUGACGGUUUAUAGAAGAUCAAUGGCUGGACACAGCAAAUGGGCAAAUAUUAAGUUUAAAAAAAUGCACAGAGACAUUGCUGAAAGUAUUAUUCUUUAAAUCAAAGUCAAAUUACGAAAUUCCGGCACAUUCCUUACAGACCGCGCAGAAAAAACAAUAGAAAGGGACUGAAACUGACGUCCAAUAAGGAAAUAGCUCUAUCUUUGGCUUCACUUUUUGGUCUCUAGUUUUCGGUCCAGUUAUAUGUGCAGCUCAUUGGACACUUCAUGCUUACUGCACCUCUAGGGAGAACAGUUUAGAACCCAAUCUAAUAAACAAGCAUUAUUCCUGAAGGCCUAGAAGCCCUAGAUAUUUCUUCGACUUCUUUAUUUUGAUUUUCUGAAAGCAAUUCGCUCUCCUUCAGUUCGCACUUACCUCAAUUACCAAACCGGAAGCUGUAAAAAUGAAACAAAAUUAAUUCACGGUAACUGAAGAUGACGUUAAUGAGUAAAUAUCAGUAUAUAUUGAUAUAUUACAUCGUAUCCAUGUAAUAAACACGGCAUGGUAACAUUUAAGAUGUAAUUAAUACUUGGCAACAGUUGCGGUGUCAGCCUAUAUUUAUAACUCGUACAUGUCCUCGAGCUAAGGUUAUUGACGGAAAUUUAAAUAAUAAUCAAAACAUACACUGAGUCACUGAUGAGGCGGAUUAAGCCUGAGUCUCUUGCCUUCGUGGGAAUAUAGUCGGUCUUUGGCACGGAUUGGUGACAGUGGUCAGCAUUGCCAUGAUUUUGGGUUGCUUUUUAAAGCAAGUAUUAAAAUGCUUUAAUAAAUACUCCUAAAACAGUUCUGAUAUUAAUACUUCUAAAAAAAAAACUAGCAACAGAAGGCUGUGAUUUAAGAGAGAUACAACUACUUUAAUAAAAGAUAUAAGCAGAAUUCCGAAUUCGAUGUUUACCGUCCCAACGAAGGGAAAAGUUUUAAAGCUUAUAUUUUAAAGCAAAGGGAAGUUUUGCUUAUAUAUUUUACGGUAUACCAGGAGGAUUUACCAGUAUUACGGUGUACCAGGAGGAUUUAACGAAAUAACAUAUAUCGUAUUAAGUUCUUUGUAUGUUUGCAUGGCGAUAAAAUAUAAUAGUUUUGUUUGUGGAAACACCACGUAAAUUUAUUACUGCAAUAAUAAAUAAUACAGUACAAUAUACUGUACAAUAUACAAUAUAUUCUUGCAGUAAUAAAUUUACGUGGUCUUUCCACAAACAAAAUUAUUAUAUAUCAUAUUCACAUGUGCAUUUUAGACUGUGGGUAAGUAUUAAAUUGCAAAAGAACAACGAAAACAACAACAACAACAACAACAUGGCAACGUACAAUAACAAUAACAAUAACAAUAACAAUAACAAUAACAAUAACAAUAACAAUAACAAUAACAAUAACAAUAACAAAAUUAAACACAAAUAUACUCCAAACUCCAUAUACGACAUACUUCAACUUGGUCAAGAAUACUUUUAAUGUGAAUAUCAGAAUAUGCCAUGGACUGCUCCAGUGCUCCUGCCAUCGUUUCUAAACUGCAUUAUGUAUAUAUUUUCUGUAAAUAGAUCUUCUUUUUUUCCGUUUUUGUUACCUAGUCAUACUUUUGUGCCUUGCAUGGGUCUCGUUUUCCCGUUUGCAUUAGCCCCAUUGGACCUUGUAAUCUAUAUUUUUUAUGUCCAAUAAAGCUGAUAAAAUAAAAUAAAUAAAACUCUGGAACAAAUUUCUUGAGGUUGAGGUUGGCUAGGUGUUGGCGGAACAGUGAUUAGCGCAUGCGUGUUGCAUGUAUUUGUCUGAUUUUUACUCCACUGGGCAACGGCAUGGCCCUAUAAAGCUACAAGUAUUUCUAUGUCUGUGAUGUGCGAUUAGUCCAAAUGUGUCUGUCCACUAGGACGAGUUUUUUUGUAAAGAAUGCAAGAAAAAAAUUAAUACCACUACACAUAACACAUUUUACGUAUUUCAAAAGUUGACAAAUGACAAAGUACGGGGCCGUGACAGCUUCGGGGAGCUUACACGAGGCAACAACAGACAUUUGAUUUAAAAACUUCCGAAUUGAGAUAAGAUUCUUGCUUCCCCGUGAAGAUUUUAUUGAGUCUUCUAUAAUGACUUCAAACGCGCUGAUUUGAAGCGCUCUGGAAUGACGCAUGUAAAUUCCAGAGAUUGGUUGUGUAAAACUCUUAACCACUAUAUUUUGUAGUUUAAUAUUAGUUAAGUUAAACUCUAAAAUACGCGAUUUUGAUUGGUUAACUGUGCUCCAGCGAGUGUUAUAACUAGGAUUUUACAUUGACCGAAUCUCAGGGUGAUAUAUGCUACCCCAGAAAUUUUUUUAUUUUCUAACUCUUAGAAAUGCUAUUUCCUGCAUUCUGAGAGCAGUUUUAUAAAAAAAUAAAUCUCAUAAACGGCGACACAAUGACUUUAAGCUCUGUCUUGCAUUCCAAUCAGUAUCUGUUUUCUUUGAAUUUGAUGUCUUCCUGUUUUACAUUUUUUACGAAAUUUCUUGCCAAGGACACGGUUGACUCAUUUCUGGUCCAUAGGAUAAUACAGAAUCAUUCAUCUAUAUAUAACAAACUAAUUCGCAUACUGAAAAAUCAGCGAAAAUCCUGGUCAAGCUCAUAUACAUACUUGACUGUGCAUUUUGUUGUGCUUUCGUCAUUCGUAGACCCACAAUAUAGAAGGUGGACCCUAUAUAUUGGACACCUAGAGUGGAACAGUUUAGAGCUGGUAAAGUGAUAAAACGAGUAGUUAUCAAUUCCUGAUCUGUGGCACGCGCUAGGCAUGAGGCCGCAUUUAGACAAGAAAACUCAGGGAAUGUGAACAUCUCAUAAACGACGCUAAUUACACCAGUCUAAGUGAUAGUCGAGGAUAAGAGCUCUCGUCAAGCAGGAAAAAUAAUGAAACUGUUGCCCUUUUAUGUAAAUAUCCGUAGUACUUGAUUGGAUAUCCUUUCAACAAUGUUGAAAAGAGCACUUAACUCAGAUUCCGUUCAUUGUACUGAGAAAUUAAAACUGACAUUAAAAUUAAAAGACAUUUUGUUAGUUUUGUUAGUAUAAAACAUUAACAAAGUGCUAUAGAAUAUUGCAAGCGACCACUGAGAAUGAACAUCAUGAAUAUUAGAUAGUUAUCUGAUCAUUUCUACCAUUUGCACAGACCUUGUUAAAACUUGGUGCGUGUUAGGUCUGCGUACAGGCUAAAUCAGUCCUGAGUAAUUAUUCUGAGACUGCGAUGGAGACUUUAUUUGCCUCGAGCGGGAAUAGACCUGAACCAAAACUUCGUGAUCCUUGUCCGCCCUCAACCCAUUAUCAGAGCCAAAGGUGAUUGAGUCAUAUCCAAUUUAAAGUGCACGACAUAUUUUCUUGAUGACUUUUGGCGCAUUUCGAAAGAUGUACUUGGGUUUAUACUGGGCAAAGUGUUUGAGAUUUUUCUGUCUUCUUGGCUCUCAUCCAAAUAACUCGCAUUAUAAAUGAGUAUCAGUAUCUACCAGGCGCUAAGCUGCGAUGGCUAGUGUCCCAUUCAGGAGGAGUAUUUGACUGUCAUUAGUUUAGCAGUACAAUAAGCUGCCGUGAUUUGUGUCUGAACUACCUGAAAAAUGACAUCUCAAACGUGGGGUCCAGUAGCAGUGUAGAACAAAGCUACCGUCCGUGAUUUGUGUCUGACCUACUUGAAAAAAGCUGUGCUGAGUGGUUAUAUUACUACCUUAAAAAAUAAGCAGAAACUCGACGUUUCGAGCGAAGGCCCUUAGGGCCUUCGCUCGAAACGUCUUGACGAAGGGCCUUCGCUCGAAACGUCGAGUUUCUGCUUAUUUUUAAGGUAGUAAUAUAACCACUCGGCACAGCAUUUCUACAUUGGUACUACCUACACUGGUACAGACAGUUUUAGUACCUGAAAAAAGACAUCUCAAACGUGAGGGCCGAGUGUAGGUAGCAUUCUACAUCAACCUGCAGUAGUUUGUGUCUGAACUACCUGAAAAAGAUUAAAACCAGUUUACUGAACAUGCAGGUUGUCUUGUGGGAACCCGUCGUUUGAAGUCACAGCGAGGGCUCGAAACAUUCAAGUGUUUUUAAUCUUUUGAAAAUCCAAACCGCGAGCUAGCUGCGAGUACUUUUAUCCAAUCACAAUGCUCGACAGUUUAUUUGAAUUAGAUGCAAGCACUCGCAGUGAGCUUUUUGGUUUUGCCAUGCAGAGUGGGAAAGAGCUUUUAAAUUAAUAUUUUACAAACCACGCCGACCUCGAGGCCAGCUUAUUGUAGAAUUCUUCCUGCACAUUUUUGAGAUAACCCAGGUUAAACUGUAUCCUGAUGACCCACGGAUUGUAUGUAAAUUCAUAGAUUUUAAUCCAUGAGAACCUGGAGAAAAGUUGGCUCAGUAUACCGUUGCCUUAAAAGCUCAAUCUGCCCCCUCUCUGUAGGGGGUGCACAACCACUUGUAAUUUCCCUUUUGUUCACACAUGAAAGUACUUAACUAAAGUGGUUCAAGUCUUUUAAAAUAAUUAUAUGCAAGGCAGUUUAAAUACCUAAUCACUCUACGUUUUUCUUGCAUUAGCGAAACACUGGCAGUGUGGUUACUUGCGGGAAUUCGAAGCAGUCGUCAAACAGUUUAGUGGCUUGUCGUCGUUGUGUGGCUUCUUCAAGUGAAUGAGUGAAGUCUAGAGAGGGACCGAGUCAAUUUUGACAGGUA